CCAGACUCCUACGGGAGGCAGCAGUGAGGAAUAUUGGUCAAUGGACGGAAGUCUGAACCAGCCAAGUAGCGUGCAGGAUGACGGCCCUAUGGGUUGUAAACUGCUUUUGUAUGGGGAUAAAGUUAGGGACGUGUCCCUAUUUGCAGGUACCAUAUGAAUAAGGACCGGCUAAUUCCGUGCCAGCAGCCGCGGUAAUACGGAAGGUUCAGGCGUUAUCCGGAUUUAUUGGGUUUAAAGGGAGCGUAGGCUGGAGAUUAAGUGUGUUGUGAAAUGUAGACGCUCAACGUCUGACUUGCAGCGCAUACUGGUUUCCUUGAGUACGCACAACGUUGGCGGAAUUCGUCGUGUAGCGGUGAAAUGCUUAGAUAUGACGAAGAACUCCGAUUGCGAAGGCAGCUGACGGGAGCGCAACUGACGCUUAAGCUCGAAGGUGCGGGUAUCAAACAGGAUUAGAUACCCUGGUAGUCCGCACAGUAAACGAUGGAUGCCCGCUGUUGGUACCUGGUAUCAGCGGCUAAGCGAAAGCAUUAAGCAUCCCACCUGGGGAGUACGCCGGCAGCGGUGAAACUCAAAGGAAUUGACGGGGGCCCGCACAAG
rnacentral:rRNA from 1 species